GAGCGAGAAAGCGGAGCAAUCCGUGAGUAAAGCGGCGGUACGGGCNCNUUNACACGCUGGAUCAUCAUACCUUUUAGAUGGGGGCUAACCCUGGGAAACCGGAGCUAAUACCGCAUAAGCCUGAAAAGGGAAAGCAGCAAUGCGCUGAAAGAGGAGUCCGCGGCCGAUUAGCUAGUUGGUGAGGUAACGGCCCACCGAGGCGAUGAUCGGUAGCCGGCCUGAGAGGGCACACGGCCACACUGGCACUGAAACACGGGCCAGACUCCUACGGGAGGCAGCAGUGGGGAAUCUUGCACAAUGGAGGCAACUCUGAUGCAGCGACGCCGCGUGAGCGAUGAAGCCCUUCGGGGUGUAAAGCUCUUUCGGCAGGGACGAUAAUGACGGUACCUGAAGAAGAAGCUGCGGCUAACUACGUGCCAGCAGCCGCGGUAAUACGUAGGCAGCGAGCGUUGUUCGGAAUUACUGGGCGUAAAGAGUGUGUAGGCGGCGCUCUAAGUUCGGUGUGAAAUCUCCCGGCUUAACUGGGAGGGUGCGCCGGAAACUGGAGUGCUUGAGCGUGGGAGAGGAAAGCGGANUUCCUGGUGUACCGNUGAAAUGCGUAGAUAUCAGGAGGAAACACCUGCGGUGUANACUGCUUUUCUGGACCAUUGCUGACNCUGAGACA
rnacentral:rRNA from 1 species